GGUCGUUGUUGUAGGUAAUAAACCACUUUGCAUCAACCCAACAUCCCCCUGGCUUAAAGACAUGAUAGAAAAGAAAACCGUAACGUGCGUUCCAUGUGAUGCAUAGAACUCAUAAUGCUGCAGCAGAAACAAGACAAGAAAAAGCUUCAACUUCCCUUUCUUUACUAACCGCUUCAAGGAAAAGAAA